rnacentral:misc_RNA from 1 species
AUGAAACGAGGGUGGAAGAAGUAGCACAGGCUUUGGUGGACUGUGAUAAGAUUCAACAACAAUUAAAAUUUAAUUUACAACAAGCAUAGACUAAAAUGAUUCAAUAAGCAAACAAGCACCGUCGAGAUGUUUAAUAUAACAUUGGGGACACUGUUUCUCAAGCGACGUCCUCACCGCUAGCACUCUCUCCAUACUAGGGUCAAUCAAAAGCUCUCAGCCCGCUAUUAU